GACCAGAUAGCUCAAUUGGUAGAGCGUCCGUUUAAAGUUCGGAAGGUCCCGGGUUCGAACCCCGGUUUGGCG
rnacentral:tRNA from 1 species